UUUAUGUUUAUGUUGUUGCUUACACAAGUGGUUGCCUAAACCACUUCACUUGCAGUUAACUUGCAGGCUAAUGUUAAGAGUGAUGAAGUGUUGCCUUUGUUUAUAUACCUUGUUUGCUUGGCCAUAUUGGUGACUCACUUAUGAUGUACCAAUGGGAGGGAUUAAGCUAGCAAAGUGGCAUCAUGAUGGGGACCGACGUCUGUUCUUCACGGAUGUUGUAUCUGCCCAGGUACAAGAGCGGCGGCAAGGAGGUCAUGGUGCUACCUUACACACCAAUGCCAUCUUCAUCAGUAACAACGACAAAUUCUGCGUGGGUCGGCUGCAGGGUGUUCUCAAGAAGGCUGGUGGUCUUGGAGGCUGCCACUGAUUGAAUAUUUUGGUGGCACUUGUACCUGUCCUGGAUACUGAAGGUGCUUUAGAGAUGAAAAAGGGCCAUUGGAGAGAUGUACAUGCUGAAGAUAUGUGCAUGGAGAUGUCUAACUUGAGAACUUCCUUCUCUGCCCACCAACCAUGGUGUUGUGGCUGGCUUGUUCGCUGGCGCGCAUGUUCUUCUGUAGCAUUAUGUGUGGCGCUCCAUCGAGCUCGCUAGAUCGUGUCAUGCGCAUGGCCAAGGGAGGGUGUUGCACGCCAGCGACAUGGUCCUAGCCAUCAGGACGAGGUGACGGCGACGUGAGUCACUGUGGGCUGUUGUCCGCCACAUGCUGCAAAGAGUGCCAUGAACCAGAUGGCCGAGGGAGUGCGCUGGUCCUGCUGGACGGGCACCUCCCUUCUCCGUACAGUACGUGAGGCCGCUCUGCCAUGGCAUGCCAACGCAGGGUCUUAGGUCGUCCCGGCUGCCUCCUUGGACGUGUUUGUCAGGAACAAGGCCGCACCUUUAGCCGGUAGUGUCAAGCUGCUCGCCCUAGGUCCACCGCCACAAGAUGAUGUGGCUGGCGACUUCCACCACCACCUCCUGGAGCUCCUGAUGUAGGCUGAGAUGAUGUGCCAUCGUCUCCCUGCUCCAGCUCUUCCUGCUUAAGACCGAGGAAGUUCUCAUCAUUGCGGGCUUGUCCAAGCACAUAUGGAACCUCUAUGCAGCCGCUUGGACAUAGGCAUUCUCAUAGCUGUUGUGGCUGCUUACCGAGAGAGCACGCCGAGCUCUCGAUAUGGUUUUAGUCGCCAGAAACCCAUCAUCUCCAUGAAGCAGCGAGGAGGGUCAGGUUGCUGCGAGUGGGACGAGCCUAGAGAUUAACUGGUUGGUCUGCAGCUUAUAGAGAAGUUGCUCAUGGGUCUUAUGACAGGGGAACUUGGUGUGUAUGUGCAAUGUGCUUCUAUUAAGUUCAAACCUGGGCGUGGACAUGCAAGUGUGUCCAAUUAUUGAAGCAGAUCACGUUGUUGUGUUGUUUGUGAAUAUUUUCUCUAUGCAAUGUAGCUAUCUAGCACAUUGGUGUUUGCAUGUUGUGCUGACUGUCUAGUGCACUGGAGUGCUCGGGGUGGAGGCCGGAUAACGACGCGGCUACAGCCUCUCGACUCCUCCUGGUCAGCUUAUGAAUCGUGGCAAGGUUGCUGUCGGCUGCUUUGUUCCGGCACACGGGUUUCAGUUCUUGUAAUGUUUAUCAUAUUGAAUUAUGUCUUAGUUUUUGUGCAGACCACAAGUUGCAGCCUUUGUUCUCAGCUGGUGGAUUC